rnacentral:rRNA from 1 species
UACGUAGGGUCCGAGCGUUGUCCGGAAUUAUUGGGCGUAAAGGGCUCGUAGGCGGUCUGUUGCGUCGGGAGUGAAAACUUACAGCUUAACUGUGAGCGUGCUUCCGAUACGGGCAGACUUGAGGUAUUCAGGGGAGAACGGAAUUCCUGGUGUAGCGGUGAAAUGCGCAGAUAUCAGGAGGAACACCGGUGGCGAAGGCGGUUCUCUGGGAAUAUCCUGACGCUGAGGCGCGAAAGCUAGGGGAGCAAACGGG